rnacentral:lncRNA from 1 species
UAGAUAAUUGAUCACUUUACACGAAAAUAAUGCAUAGUACAUUUCAAAUGUCGUAUGUUUAGAAAAUACAAACAUUAAAGCCAAAAGAUAGCAACAAAAUAACGAAAAUCAUCACAACUAUAAAUAGGAUCCGCAAUUAUGUGUUAAGUAAUCUUUGACUGACAAUUUUUUUCUUAAGUGUGCGUCCUGUUUUUGGAACACGCACCAGGACCAUCUUUCGCAAAGUGGACAAAAUUGCUGGCACCGUAAAACAUCGGGUACUGUUUUGAUAAAAAGAAAAUCGCGAAUCUGCAAGUUAUCAAAUUAACAUAUGUUACGUAGAAAUGUUCAGUAAUUAUAACAAACUUUGCCACAAUAUCGAUCUCUAAAAUGAGGGCCUUGACUUUUCGCACGGAUUGUAGGACCCUGAAGUCACUAUCAACGACCCCUUAUAUAUAUGUACUUGAUGAGGCUUUUGCUUCUUCAGCUGGGUACUAUACAAAAGAAGAGAAACAUUUUUUUAAUGAGUGGUACUCUGAAAACUGUUUUCUGUGGCUAAUAUGCCACUUGUUAUUACUGUAUAAUAACUGUUACUUAUAUCGUAAGGUACGAUAUUGUUGUAAAAUUCGAGUGACAACAUUGUGUACGAUGGUUAUCAACCAUCGAGUAUGAGCCAGUUGUGGUCUUGAUAACACAAAAUUCUUGAAAAAGAAAGUAUGUAUCUCUUCCUGUCUCCCAGAAAGUGCCUUGAAGAUGUCUUGAAUAUUAUCAAAAUAUUCAAUUACCGCACCACCAAACGUAAAUGUUCCAGAAUAUUUUUUACAAUAGCAGAAGUUUUUAUGAUAUUGCAUUUUAGCCCUUUAGCAAUUUUUGAAUCAUAACAAACUGUAUAUAAUUUCAAUUCAUUCAAAUUAAUUUCGGAAGCCAUUCUAUGAUGAAUGGUAGAUUAUUCUCUGUCAGUAUGGCAGGUAAACAUAUUUUCACUAAAAUAAAUGUUUUCAUGUAUUAACAAAAAACUAUCAUGUUGACAAAUAUUGUACUUCAUACUCUAUGGUUACCCUCUUUAAAUUCUUCUUUUUGCGUAAUGGCUGGUGUACCCGAUUUUACAAAUGAUAAAAUACUUUUUUGUUUAACAAGUCGUGUUAAAAGUCCUAAUACACUUUUUAUGUUAAUUUGUUUAUCGCACGAUUUGCACAAAGCAGCCCAAACCAGACAAAAGGACUGGUCUUUUUAACUUUUUUCCAACCAACCUUUAAAUGGUAGUAUUCUUUCACAUUCCUAUUUGUAUUUUUGGUCAUAUUUAAUUUUUUUUACUAUAGGUCGAUUUUCGUAAUCACUCGACGAUAAGCAUUGGUAAUCAGUAAGGCACGGAACUUUUGUAACAGAAGGAUACGAUUUCCCCCCUUGACUUGUUCUCAGUGGCUUCCUAGAAAACAAACCCAGAAAACUAGCCAAUGAGAACAAGUGGAGGUGGGAAAUCGUAUCGUUUUCUUACAAAAGUUCUGUGCCCUAGUAAUCAGUCUAAUUUGUUUUGACUACGUUGAAUGAUCAAUUGAUUAGAUGUCUUAGUACAGCCCACAGCGAGUCCAGAUAGGUUAAAUUAUGAACUGUUAAACUAGUCUUAUUGAUCGCAGAUGUUGAGAGAAUCUACCAAUUAAUUAGUAUAUUUGUAUAGUUUUGAGUCUGAUCUACUCAGUUGACUAUUUAAUUUUAUGCUUCCAGUUCAUCUUUAUCUUAGUCUGCUAUCAAGGUAGAGACGAUGAUGAACAUGCUGUAUGGUAAGGUAUAUCUAAUAUCUUUGGAUACUAUCAUCUACCCACUGGCUUUUACUAUUAUCCGACAUAGUUUGAAGCAAAAAUCGGCAAAAAUGUUAUUUUUAUAUAGUUUUCAAAUUAUAUUUUGUACGGUUGAAAUACACUAGAUGUAUGUACUCAUAGAUUGUGUGCAUUUUUAAUCGGCUUAACAUGAAGAGUUGCUCAUUUGAAUUCACGAGUUGUUUUUUUUCUCUAUCUGUUUCCUGAUUAAAUUAUUUAAUUUUUUGUUUCGUUAGAUUGCUUACUCGGUUAAAUUUUCUUUUAUCUGCAAAAUUUCUGGAGUUAUGUCGUAUUCUUCUUGCUUCUUGCUUUUUUAUAACUUAACGUAAUUAACUUCAUAUUAUGUUUUCUUUUGCUACAGGGAGUAGCCUCCUUUAUACUACUCGAAUUUAUUGUAUCAGAUUUUGCGCCUGCGCUUCAAGAUCAUCUUCAUUUUUAAUCUUGCGUUUAAACCAAUUACGUUUUUUAGCCUUACUUUGAACUUGUCCGAAUCACUAUAUUUGUUAGUAAGAUUUUCUUUUAUUGCUUUUUUGAUGACUGUCGCACUAAUGGUUAAUAAAACUGGGACGUGUAAACAUGCCAAUUCACAUUUUGAGUAUUGCUUUGACUUGUUGAGAUGCUCUUAGAGAUGAAGAAGUCCAGCAGGUCUGGCACUUUAUUGUUGUCGGUGGGCCAAUAAGUGGACUCACCACCUGAAUGAUAAGUGAGCAGUUACGGUAUUAAUAUCAUUCAGCAAUUUAAGGCAGUGAAUACCAGGCGUUAUCAACCCAAUACGGUGAGUUUAACAUUGAAGUUUUCUUCAAUUAUGGACCUUGAACCUAAUUUUGCAAACAAUUCUUUGCAUUGUUAUUUCGUCAAGUCAAUUUUUUUCGGCGCUAUUGCUCAUGGUGGCUAGCAUUUCAUACUUUCUUUUGUCCUAUAUAUAUGUAAUACUCCUUUGGAAGUAUUGCAUAUUAUAUUUUAUGAUUACGGUUGUACCUCCUCGAGUAUUUUCAGUCGAAAAGUCGAGGUGAAAAGAAAGUGCUCUAGUUCAUACGUAAUUUUUACCUUUGGCACUCGUUUUGGAACGACUACGAAAUUUAAUCUCUUCGCUAGUACUGUUGGUUCUGAAAAUAUUCACAAACUAAGACCAACAAUGGAUAACUCAACCAUGAACAUCCUAAAAGAGGUACUCCAAAAGAAUGAUACUACGUCGAAGGACAUCCGACGGGCGAACAAGGAGAUGCAGCUACAGACAAUAGAUAUGAAUGCAGCAGGCGCUUAAACUUGUUGAACGAUGGUGUGAAGAACAUACCCUCUCUGUCAAUCCUGAAAAGACAGAGACUGUUCUCUUCGCUAAAUAGAAGAAACUGGGACACUUAACGCCACCAUGGAACCAUGGAACAUUGAAACAUGCAUAUAAAGCUACAUUGCUGCAUCAUUUGCAACGGCUGGCCCGCCUGCUAAUGACAGGCGCUAUAAGAUCUACACCUACGAUUGCAAUGGUGACUAUGUUGAACGUGCUGUCCCUAGAUAUUUUUAUCAGGGAGGUGGGCGUGAUGGCAUUGUUUCGUCUGCGAUCAGUAAAUGACUAGCUGGUUGUUAAAAUGGGAAUAGUCCGGAGCAAGCUCUGAAGUGAGGCUGUUAGUAAACAACCCCUCCUUAAAGGUCGCACAGACUACAUUACACCACUGCAUAAGAUUAUUAUACAUAAGAAAAUUAUAUACACAAAUAGUAGAAAAAAAUACUUUCCAGGCUACCACCAGAGGAUCAGCGUGGCCAUAUAAACAUAUCAUGAAUGAUCCCCUAGUUCACACCGAACUGAGAGAGAGAAAACGAGGAUGAGUAAGUUUUUUAAAGAAUCAAUAGGGAAGUUGAUGGCAGCAUUGUGUGAUAGCGAUUUUAGACGGAAAUGGAUUGGAGGGAUCUCGGUAAGAUUGUAGAGGAGUUUGUUGCUGGGAUUGAAGAGUGGGUUUUGGGGAGUCGGAUCUUUCGGCUACUUCUAGAUGGUAUAGAUGCGUCAGCGAGGAUCAGCGGUGCAUAUUCCACUAUCGGUCCGCAGAUGGUUUUGCAAAUAUGAGCGGCGCAUUUUGUUGAUAUGCCGCGUCCCUGAUAUGUUAACGAUCUGAAGUGCUUUGCUCGAAUUGUCGCUUUCAUCUUUACCUUGAUAGCAUGGUCGGAAAAUUUCAAUCUUGUCUAUCGAGAUUCCCAGGUAUUUACAGCUUGUUGAGGGGGAUAUGAUCGUGGAUUGGAUGGUUACGGAGGGAGAAGGAGCAGGGAUGGGAAGAAAUGGGAUGAAAAAUUGGGUUUUGGAUGGGUUAACUUGGAUUGUUCAUUUUUCCAGCGAACUCUCCGUGGAUUGGAUUAGCGCCUGAAGCCUUUGGAUUGCGGAUGUGAUAUUUGCGCCGUGUGUCACCAAAGUGGUGUCGUCAGCGUAGAGCAGGGAGUAUGAGUCCAAGUCAAAGGUAUCUGGGUUUGGAUUGUAGAUGUCGCAAUAAAACAAGUUAUAGAGAACAUCGAACUGAUUUUAUUAGAUUUGAACUUGUUUCUGAAGAAGGUUGCACCAUACGAAACUUACUAGAUUUAAUUUUGUUUGUACUAAUACCGGCCGUGAAUAAAUACAAGCUUAUAUGAAUACGCUUGUUUUCAAUCCAGUGAAGAAAUGUCAAAAUCAAUCUUUAAAAAUUCAUUCAGACCUUAUUUAUGGGAAUAAAGAAACGAUUUGUAUUAUGAAUUUAUAACUUCUUAAUUCAUAACUUAAGAAGAUACGUAUUUUUAAAAAUUAUGCUGUAAUAAGAAAUAUUCAUUUCAAACAUGUAGUUUAGUAUAUCGCAGUACGUGCAGUGUGUUUAUUGUAUUUUCUUAUGAAAAUAAUUUAAAGUAUACACCAAUAACCUUGCAACACAACGUUUUCAAAAAAACUAUCCCAAAAUAUCUCAUAAUGAAAAUGUGAUGUAAGUAGGUACAUAGAGAAAAGAAACCAACUUAUAAUUUAUUUCUUUUGUAUAGAAGGCUAAGCGAAAGGAAAUUAAAGAGUUGAAUGUUUCCCUUAGUUGGUUUUAUAAAUAAAAUUCAAUCAGAUACGGCAGACAAAUUAUUCAAUUUGAAAUUAAUUUGACACACCUUUUUGUCUUGCGUGGUGAACUUAGUUUUUACUGGAUCGAUACACUGAAUGAGAAAGGUCUUUCUCCGAAUACAGCGUGUUUAGAAAUUCGGUGGCAAACAACCAUCGAUCCUCGAACGUUUUAGCCACCCAACUAUAUAUACAUUCCCCACUCUUCUUCGGUCCGAGUAAAACCGUUCUGUUCGGUCGGGUCUGCCUCGUCUCUUCCAGACUACCUAAAUUGUUUUGUAGCGUUGCUGUAGACGUAGUGCCAUCAAACACGUGCGGCGGUUUAACGAUUUUCCUGCAAUUUCAUUUAAUAUUACGUACAAUGUACCAACAUUUUGAUUAAAUCGUUAGUUAUGUGCGUAUCGAGGUCGUCAAGAAGGAAAGGUUAAGAAUUAUUGUAUCAUGGUAAAUACAUCGUCUUCAUCCCUAAAAGAUUCGAUUAGAUAAUAUGCGUAAACAUAAAUGCGGGAUAGUAUACGGAUCCACACAAUGCCUUUAUCGAAAAGCUUUAUUGUUACUUCUUAUCUUCAUUCUGGUUAUGCUAUGCACAAUUUUUGGAAUUGCAAUUUUCCUGAACGAUACGAAUGGAGAUCAAACCAAUUUAGAGUUUGGAGUCCCAGAAUUUUUAGUCAACACCAAUGAGUGUAAAAUUCCUAACGUCAUACCAUGGAAUUCAGAAUUUAAACCAUUUUAUGAGAAGAAAACUCCCUAUAGGUGCAGCGAUAAAAAAGAAAUGUUAACCAGUAUUAUAUAUGAAGGUGAUCAAGCGUUUCUGUAUAUUAAUAAAUCUGUGGUGCACCUUUACAGUUGGUACUCAAACAAUAUUCAUUGUUGUUAUCAGACAGUUAGAAGAAAAACGAAGGAUGUAGCUGAUAUUGAAAUUACUUAUUCAAACUGUC